CAAUAUGACUGGAGAAUACAGAGACCUUCACCUUUUUAAGUUAAGGUCUUUCCCAGGUUUCAGUUUCAUUGAGGCAAAGAUGAUUCAGUGAAGAUAAGAUGCUGGUGGUAAGAGCUCUCUGCAUGCUAUAGAUAGUACUAAGGUACAGAGAGCCUGGCUGUUAAGAAAUAUUACUCAAAACUAUAUACUCUAUUUCCUUCUCAACCAACUCAUUUAUUUCCAGUGGAUAUGUGAUGAUUCCAUUGCAUUAAAAUGUAAUUCUUAUAAUACAUUCUCUAUUAUACUAUAUGUUUCUAAAUUAAGA